rnacentral:lncRNA from 1 species
GGGGUCCACUUGGCAAUGGCUCUCUCUUAGGAUGACAUGUGGGUCCUUUGGACCCACUCUCACACACACACACACUACUCUACAUGUGCUACAGCCUCUCAGACAUACACACAUACACAUACACAUGGAAAACAAAAUACAAAGAAAAGGUGCCAAGGGGGGGGCGAACCCACCACUUCCCUGGUAGAACUAACCUACUCCACCACUGGGCUAUCAUCUCAGUGCUGCACUAUAGGGAGAACCACAGGAAGUAAGGUGUCUCUGUUGAUAAUGCACAGGAAAAUUAAAUCAAUCAACAAAAGGGGUCCACUUGGCAAUGGCUCUCUCUUAGGAUGACAUGUGGGUCCUUUGGACCCACUCUCACACACACACACACUACUCUACAUGUGCUACAGCCUCUCAGACAUACACACAUACACAUACACAUACACAUGGAAAACAAAAUACAAAGAAAAGGUGCCAAGGGGGGGGCGAACCCACCACUUCCCUGGUAGAACUAACCUACUCCACCACUGGGCUAUCAUCUCAGUGCUGCACUAUGGGGAGAACCACAGGAAGUAAGGUGUCAUAAUGCACAGGAAAAUUAAAUCAAUCAACAAAAGGG